rnacentral:rRNA from 1 species
UUAAGUUAUUAAGGGCGCACGGUGGAUGCCUUGGCACUAGAAGCCGAUGAAGGACGUUACUAACGACGAUAUGCUUUGGGGAGCUGUAAGUAAGCUUUGAUCCAGAGAUUUCCGAAUGGGGAAACCCAGCAUGAGUUAUGUCAUGUUAUCGAUAUGUGAAUACAUAGCAUAUCAGAAGGCACACCCGGAGAACUGAAACAUCUUAGUACCCGGAGGAAGAGAAAGAAAAUUCGAUUCCCUUAGUAGCGGCGAGCGAAACGGGAAGAGCCCAAACCAACAAGCUUGCUUGUUGGGGUUGUAGGACACUCUAUACGGAGUUACAAAGGACGACAUUAGACGAAUCAUCUGGAAAGAUGAAUCAAAGAAGGUAAUAAUCCUGUAGUCGAAAAUGUUGUCUCUCUUGAGUGGAUCCUGAGUACGACGGAGCACGUGAAAUUCCGUUGGAAUCUGGGAGGACCAUCUCCUAAGGCUAAAUACUCUCUAGUGACCGAUAGUGAACCAGUACCGUGAGGGAAAGGUGAAAAGCACCCCGGAAGGGGAGUGAAAUAGAACCUGAAACCGUGUGCUUACAAGUAGUCAGAGCCCGUUAAUGGGUGAUGGCGUGCCUUUUGUAGAAUGAACCGGCGAGUUACGAUUUGAUGCAAGGUUAAGCAGUAAAUGUGGAGCCGUAGCGAAAGCGAGUCUGAAUAGGGCGUUUAGUAUUUGGUCGUAGACCCGAAACCAGGUGAUCUACCCUUGGUCAGGUUGAAGUUCAGGUAACACUGAAUGGAGGACCGAACCGACUUACGUUGAAAAGUGAGCGGAUGAACUGAGGGUAGCGGAGAAAUUCCAAUCGAACCUGGAGAUAGCUGGUUCUCUCCGAAAUAGCUUUAGGGCUAGCCUCAAGUGAUGAUUAUUGGAGGUAGAGCACUGUUUGGACGAGGGGCCCCUCUCGGGUUACCGAAUUCAGACAAACUCCGAAUGCCAAUUAAUUUAACUUGGGAGUCAGAACAUGGGUGAUAAGGUCCGUGUUCGAAAGGGAAACAGCCCAGACCACCAGCUAAGGUCCCAAAAUAUAUGUUAAGUGGAAAAGGAUGUGGCGUUGCCCAGACAACUAGGAUGUUGGCUUAGAAGCAGCCAUCAUUUAAAGAGUGCGUAAUAGCUCACUAGUCGAGUGACACUGCGCCGAAAAUGUACCGGGGCUAAACAUAUUACCGAAGCUGUGGAUUGUCCUUUGGACAAUGGUAGGAGAGCGUUCUAAGGGCGUUGAAGCAUGAUCGUAAGGACAUGUGGAGCGCUUAGAAGUGAGAAUGCCGGUGUGAGUAGCGAAAGACGGGUGAGAAUCCCGUCCACCGAUUGACUAAGGUUUCCAGAGGAAGGCUCGUCCGCUCUGGGUUAGUCGGGUCCUAAGCUGAGGCCGACAGGCGUAGGCGAUGGAUAACAGGUUGAUAUUCCUGUACCACCUAUAAUCGUUUUAAUCGAUGGGGGGACGCAGUAGGAUAGGCGAAGCGUGCGAUUGGAUUGCACGUCUAAGCAGUAAGGCUGAGUAUUAGGCAAAUCCGGUACUCAUUAAGGCUGAGCUGUGAUGGGGAGAAGACAUUGUGUCUUCGAGUCGUUGAUUUCACACUGCCGAGAAAAGCCUCUAGAUAGAAAAUAGGUGCCCGUACCGCAAACCGACACAGGUAGUCAAGAUGAGAAUUCUAAGGUGAGCGAGCGAACUCUCGUUAAGGAACUCGGCAAAAUGACCCCGUAACUUCGGGAGAAGGGGUGCUCUUUAGGGUUAACGCCCAGAAGAGCCGCAGUGAAUAGGCCCAAGCGACUGUUUAUCAAAAACACAGGUCUCUGCUAAACCGUAAGGUGAUGUAUAGGGGCUGACGCCUGCCCGGUGCUGGAAGGUUAAGAGGAGUGGUUAGCUUCUGCGAAGCUACGAAUCGAAGCCCCAGUAAACGGCGGCCGUAACUAUAACGGUCCUAAGGUAGCGAAAUUCCUUGUCGGGUAAGUUCCGACCCGCACGAAAGGCGUAACGAUUUGGGCACUGUCUCAACGAGAGACUCGGUGAAAUCAUAGUACCUGUGAAGAUGCAGGUUACCCGCGACAGGACGGAAAGACCCCGUGGAGCUUUACUGUAGCCUGAUAUUGAAAUUCGGCACAGCUUGUACAGGAUAGGUAGGAGCCUUUGAAACGUGAGCGCUAGCUUACGUGGAGGCGCUGGUGGGAUACUACCCUAGCUGUGUUGGCUUUCUAACCCGCACCACUUAUCGUGGUGGGAGACAGUGUCAGGCGGGCAGUUUGACUGGGGCGGUCGCCUCCUAAAAGGUAACGGAGGCGCUCAAAGGUUCCCUCAGAAUGGUUGGAAAUCAUU